rnacentral:tRNA from 2 species
CGGCAGGUUGAGCACGCGCUCCAUGGUCUCCAGCACGAUGCGCUCGCGAUCGUCGCGCGGCGCCAGGCGUUCCGCCGCCUCCUGCCGC